AGUGGAUGGGGAGCAACCUAGUUGUGCGUGUGUAAAGGUAGUGCCAAGAAAAGCGAUGAUCAUGUUGAAAAUCAAUUCCCGGUACCCGAGACCGACACAGGUGGGCAAGUAGAGAAUACUAAGGGGCGCGAGGUAACUCUCUCCAAGGAACUCGGCAAAAUGACCCCGUAACUUAGGGAGAAGGGGUGCCACCGAGAGGUGGUCGCAGUGAAGAGGCCCAGGCGACUGUUUAGCAAAAACAUAGGCCUCUGCAAACUCGAAAGAGGAGGUAUAGGGGCUGACGCCUGCCCAGUGCCGGAAGGUUAAAGAAGUUGGUCAGUCUUAGGAUGAAGCUAGCGACUGAAGCCCCGGUGAACGGCGGCCGUAACUAUAACGGUCCUAAGGUAGCGAAAUUCCUUGUCGGGUAAGUUCCGACCCGCACGAAAGGCGUAACGAUCUGGGCGCUGUCUCGGAGAGAGGCUCGGCGAAAUAGGAUUGUCUGUGAAGAUACGGACUACCUGCAUUUGGACAGAAAGACCCUAUGAAGCUUUACUAUAGCUUGGAAUUGUGUUCGGGCUUCCUGUGCGCAGGAUAGGUGGGAGGCGUAGAAGGUAUUCUUGUGGGGAUACUGGAGCCAACGGUGAGAUACCACUCUCAGGAGGCUAGAAUUCUAACUUAAUUAAGGACAGUUUCAGGUGGGUAGUUUGACUGGGGCGGUCGCCUCCAAAAAGGUAACGGAGGCGUACAAAGGUUCCCUCAGACUGGUUGGAAAUCAGUCGAAGAGUGCAAAGGCAGAAGGGAGCUUGACUGCGAGAAGUACAGUUCGAGCAGGGUGGAAACACGGUCUUAGUGAUCCGACGGUGCUGUGUGGAAGGGCCGUCGCUCAACGGAUAAAAGUUACUCUAAGGAUAACAGGCUGAUCUCCCCCAAGAGUUCACAUCGACGGGGAGGUUUGGCACCUCGAUGUCGGCUCAUCGCAACCUGGGGCGGAAGUACGUCCCAAGGGUUGGGCUGUUCGCCCAUUAAAGCGGUACGUGAGCUGGGUUCAGAACGUCGUGAGACAGUUCGGUCCAUAUCCGAUGUAGGCGUGAGAAUAUUGAGAGGAGCCUUCCUUAGUACGAGAGGACCGGGAAGGACGCACCGCUGGUGUACCUGUUAUGAUGCCAUUUGUAAACGCAGGGUAGCCAAGUGCGGAGAGGAUAACCGCUGAAAGCAUCUAAGAGGGAAGCCCACCUCAAGAUGAGUAUUCUGGUGUAAGGUCACGGGAAGACGACCCGUAAAUAGGCACGAGGUGGAAGUGCAGAGAUGUAUGAAGCCGAAGUGUACUAAUAGACCGUCGGCUUGACC
rnacentral:rRNA from 1 species